CGGACAGGGGGGUCCCCGCCAUCCCGCGGGGCCUGUCCGAACGGGCCGCGCGGACUCCUGCGCCGGGCGGCCGGUGGUUGUCGCUCGGGGGUGAUCGCCG
rnacentral:sRNA from 22 species